UACAGAGGUCCCAAGCGUUGUUCGGAUUCACUAGGCGUAAAGGGUGCGUAGGCGGUCGGGUAAGUCUGAUGUGAAAUCUCACAGCUUAACUGUGAAACUGCAUUGGAUACUAUCCGGCUCGAGGAAUGGAGGGGAGACUGGAAUACUUGGUGUAGCAGUGAAAUGCGUAGAUAUCAAGUGGAACACCAGUGGCGAAGGUGAGUCUCUGGACAUUUCCUGACGCUGAGGCACGAAAGCCAGGGGAGCAAACGGG
rnacentral:rRNA from 1 species